GAUGAACGCUGGCGGCGUGCCUAAUACAUGCAAGUCGAGCGAACAGAUGAGGAGCUUGCUCCUCUGACGUUAGCGGCGGACGGGUGAGUAACACGUGGAUAACCUACCUAUAAGACUGGGAUAACUUCGGGAAACCGGAUCUAAUACCGGAUAAUAUAUUGAACCGCAUGGUUCAAUAGUGAAAGACGGUUUUGCUGUCACUUAUAGAUGGAUCCGCGCCGCAUUAGCUAGUUGGUAAGGUAACGGCUUACCAAGGCAACGAUGCGUAGCCGACCUGAGAGGGUGAUCGGCCACACUGGAACUGAGACACGGUCCAGACUCCUACGGGAGGCAGCAGUAGGGAAACUUCCGCAAUGGGCGAAAGCCUGACGGAGCAACGCGGGGUGAGUGAUGAAGGUCUUCGGAUCGUAAAACUCUGUUAUUAGGGAAGAACAAAGGUGUAAGUAACUAUGCACGUCUUGACGGUACCUAAUCAGAAAGCCACGGCUAACUACGU
rnacentral:rRNA from 1 species